AUUGAACGCUGGCGGCAGGCCUAACACAUGCAAGUCGAACGGUAACAGGAAACAGCUUGCUGUUUCGCUGACGAGUGGCGGACGGGUGAGUAAUGUCUGGGAAACUGCCUGAUGGAGGGGGAUAACUACUGGAAACGGUAGCUAAUACCGCAUAACGUCGCAAGACCAAAGAGGGGGACCUCCGGGCCUUUUGCCAUCGGAUGUGCCCAGAUGGGAUUAGCUAGUCGGUGGGGUAACGGCUUACCUAGGCGACGAUCCCUAGCUGGUCUGAGAGGAUGACCAGCCACACUGGAACUGAGACACGGUCCAGACUCCUACGGGAGGCAGCAGUGGGGAAUAUUGCACAAUGGGCGCAAGCCUGAUGCAGCCAUGUCGCGUGUAUGAAGAAGGCCUUCGGGUUGUAAAGUACUUUCAGCGGGGAGGAAGGGAGUAAAGUUAAUACCUUUGCUCAUUGACGUUACCCGCAGAAGAAGCACCGGCUAACUCCGUGCCAGCAGCCGCGGUAA
rnacentral:rRNA from 1 species